rnacentral:rRNA from 1 species
CCUGGCUCAGGAUGAACGCUGGCGGCGUGCUUAACACAUGCAAGUCGAGCGAAGCAGUUAAGUUGAUUUCUUCGGAUUGAUUCUUAAUUGACUGAGCGGCGGACGGGUGAGUAACGCGUGGGUGACCUGCCCCAUACCGGGGGAUAACAGCUGGAAACGGCUGCUAAUACCGCAUAAGCGCACAGAGCUGCAUGGCUCGGUGUGAAAAACUCCGGUGGUAUGGGGAUGGGCCCGCGUCUGAUUAGGCAGUUGGCGGGGUAACGGCCCACCAAACCGACGAUCAGUAGCCGGCCUGAGAGGGCGACCGGCCACAUUGGGACUGAGACACGGCCCAAACUCCUACGGGAGGCAGCAGUGGGGAAUAUUGCACAAUGGGGGAAACCCUGAUGCAGCGACGCCGCGUGAGCGAAGAAGUAUUUCGGUAUGUAAAGCUCUAUCAGC